GGGCCGGUAGCUCAACGGCAGAGCACUUGGCUGGCAGUCAAGGGGUUGAGAGUUCAAAUCUCUUCCGGUCCACUA
rnacentral:tRNA from 2 species